UACGUAGGUGGCAAGCGUUUGUCCGGAAUUAUUGGGCGUAAGCGCGCGCAGGUGGUUUCUUAAGUCUGAUGUGAAAGCCCACGGCUCAACCGUGGAGGGUCAUUGGAAACUGGGGAACUUGAGUGCAGAAGAGGAAAGUGGAAUUCCAAGUGUAGCGGUGAAAUGCGUAGAGAUUUGGAGGAACACCAGUGGCGAAGGCGACUUUCUGGUCUGUAACUGACACUGAGGCGCGAAAGCGUGGGGAGCGAACAGG
rnacentral:rRNA from 1 species